rnacentral:rRNA from 1 species
CUUACACUGCAGUGAACGAACUUCGGGUUAGUGGCGGACGGGUGAGUAACGCGUGAGAAUCUGCCCUCAGGAGGGGGACAACAGCUGGAAACGGCUGCUAAUACCCCAUAUGCCGCGAGGUGAAAUGAAUUUCGCCUGAGGAUGAGCUCGCGUCUGAUUAGCUAGUUGGUGUAGGUAAUGGCUCACCAAGGCGUCGAUCAGUAGCUGGUCUGAGAGGAUGAUCAGCCACACUGGGACUGAGACACGGCCCAGACUCCUACGGGAGGCAGCAGUGGGGAAUUUUCCGCAAUGGGCGAAAGCCUGACGGAGCAACGCCGCGUGAGGGAUGAAGGCCUCUGGGCUGUAAACCUCUUUUAUCAAGGAAGAAGAUCUGACGGUACUUGAUGAAUAAGCCACGGCUAAUUCCGUGCCAGCAGCCGCGGUAAUACGGGAGUGGCAAGCGUUAUCCGGAAUUAUUGGGCGUAAAGCGUCCGCAGGCGGCCUGACAAGCCUGCUGUUAAAGCGUGGAGCUUAACUCCAUUUCAGCAGUGGAAACUGUCAGGCUUGAGUGUGGUAGGGGCAGAGGGAGUUCCCGGUGUAGCGGUGAAAUGCGUAGAUAUCGGGAAGAACACCAGUGGCGAAGGCGCUCUGCUGGGCCAUCACUGACGCUCAUGGACGAAAGCCAGGGGAGCGAAGGGGAUUAAUACCCCUGGUAGUCUGGUCGUAACCGAUGACCUACGUGUCGGGGGAUCAAACCCUCGGUGUGUA